AUUGAACGCUGGCGGCAGGCCUAACACAUGCAAGUCGAACGAGUGGCGGACGGGUGAGUAAUGUGUGGGAAACCGUCUGGUGGGGGGGGAAAAACAGUGGAAAAGGUAUGUAAAAGCGCAAACCCUCGGUUGUGCCGAGAGGGGAUUAGCUCGUAGGUGGGGUAAAGGCUCACCUAGGCGACGAUCCCUCGCUGGUCUGAGAGGAUGACCAGCCAGACUGGAACUGAGACACGGUCCAGACUCCUACGGGAGGCAGCAGUGGGGAAUAUUGCACAAUGGGCGCAAGCCUGAUGCAGCCAUGCCGCGUGUAUGAAGAAGGCCUUCGGGUUGUAAAGUACUUUCAGCGGGGAGGCGUUACCCGCAGAAGAAGCACCGGCUAACUCCGUGCCAGCCGCCGCGGUAAUUC
rnacentral:rRNA from 1 species